rnacentral:rRNA from 1 species
UACAGAGGUCUCAACCGUUGUUCGGAUUCAUUGGGCGUAAAGCGUGCGCAGGCGGCUUUGCAAGACAGAUGUGAAAUCCCCGGGCUUAACCUGGGAACUGCAUUUGUGACUGCAUGGCUGGAGUGCGGAAGAGGAGAGUGGAAUUCCUGGUGUAGCGGUGAAAUGCGCAGAUAUCAGGAGGAACACCGGUGGCGAAGGCGGUCUCUGGGCAUGAUCUGACGCUGAGGAGCGAAAGUGUGGGGAGCGAACAGG